AUAAAAACACAGUGUCUUAAGAACCUCAAUGAACUUGUACAAAAAAGAAAACUGUAACAAGGAUCAUGUAUUAAAACUGCUACAGGUUGAGCAUCUUUUAUGGUGCUUUUUUAGUCAACUUUUUUUUUUUAGAUGUUGAUAUUUGGUUUCAACACACUAUUCAGUUAACAGAAGUGAUAUAAGCCACUUAUCCAAAACAGGCACAAUGACAAUAGAAAAAUAUCAGAAAACAACUGGACAAUAACUGAAAAAGCAGAAAAACUUGGCAUCCAGAUGCAUUUGAGCCAGCCGUAAUCCAGGAAAUGUCAAAAAAGCCCCAAUGAGUGAACAGAAAAUAGCCAGGAAAAAUUUGAAC